rnacentral:misc_RNA from 1 species
AACGCACCUUGCGCUCCUUGGUAUUCCGAGGAGCAUGCCUGUUUGAGUGUCUUGAAGUCAUCAACUCCCUCCCGUUUUUCUGAACGGGGAGUGGUGUUGGAUUGUUGGGGGCAUAUGCGGCUGUGAAGCUGCUCCUCUCAAAUGCAUUGGUUUGGGCCUGUGGGUCAAACUCGGCUGUGCGUUGUACUAACCUCGCUCUGGCCAAGAUGGUUUACCCAUUAGUGCGCUCUUCCUGGACCCCCUGCCUCUUUAAAGUGAGGUGGUCAAGGAGCAAUGCUCCUUUUUCAUGAACCUCUGACCUCAAAUCAGGUAGGACUACCCGCUGAACUUAA